AUGAUAGAGUUCGAAGAUGGUAAAAAGUUACAUGAUGAAGGAGCGCUGACGCCUUUUUUUGAGCAACACAGAAGAAAAAAAACGAUGCCCUUAACUUCCUUAAGUUACCAGGAGUGCAAUGGUAUGGUCACUUUGCUCUUAAACUUGUUGAAACACUCUACCCAAGUCAAGUUGCAAAUGAAAGAAAGUGAGGUUGGGUGGCACGUUUUAGAGGCUACAGUGAUGAACUAUUGCAUAAAGUAA